rnacentral:rRNA from 1 species
UGCCUAAUACAUGCAAGUCGAGCGGACAGAAGGGAGCUUGCUCCCGGAUGUUAGCGGCGGACGGGUGAGUAACACGUGGGUAACCUGCCUGUAAGACUGGGAUAACUCCGGGAAACCGGAGCUAAUACCGGAUAGUUCCUUGAACCGCAUGGUUCAAGGAUGAAAGACGGUUUCGGCUGUCACUUACAGAUGGACCCGCGGCGCAUUAGCUAGUUGGUGGGGUAAUGGCUCACCAAGGCGACGAUGCGUAGCCGACCUGAGAGGGUGAUCGGCCACACUGGGACUGAGACACGGCCCAGACUCCUACGGGAGGCAGCAGUAGGGAAUCUUCCGCAAUGGACGAAAGUCUGACGGAGCAACGCCGCGUGAGUGAUGAAGGUUUUCGGAUCGUAAAGCUCUGUUGUUAGGGAAGAACAAGUGCGAGAGUAACUGCUCGCACCUUGACGGUACCUAACCAGAAAGCCACGGCUAACUACGUGCCAGCAGCCGCGGUAAUACGUAGGUGGCAAGCGUUGUCCGGAAUUAUUGGGCGUAAAGGGCUCGCAGGCGGUUUCUUAAGUCUGAUGUGAAAGCCCCCGGCUCAACCGGGGAGGGUCAUUGGAAACUGGGAAACUUGAGUGCAGAAGAGGAGAGUGGAAUUCCACGUGUAGCGGUGAAAUGCGUAGAGAUGUGGAGGAACACCAGUGGCGAAGGCGACUCUCUGGUCUGUAACUGACGCUGAGGAGCGAAAGCGUGGGGAGCGAACAGGAUUAGAUACCCUGGUAGUCCACGCCGUAAACGAUGAGUGCUAAGUGUUAGGGGGUUUCCGCCCCUUAGUGCUGCAGCUAACGCAUUAAGCACUCCGCCUGGGGAGUACGGUCGCAAGACUGAAACUCAAAGGAAUUGACGGGGGCCCGCACAAGCGGUGGAGCAUGUGGUUUAAUUCGAAGCAACGCGAAGAACCUUACCAGGUCUUUGUACAUCCUCUGACAACCCUAGAGAUAGKKYUYYCCYUUSGGGGACARAGUGACAGGUGGUGCAUGGUUGUCGUCAGCUCGUGUCGUGAGAUGUUGGGUUAAGUCCCGCAACGAGCGCAACCCUUGAUCUUAGUUGCCAGCAUUCAGUUGGGCACUCUAAGGUGACUGCCGGUGACAAACCGGAGGAAGGUGGGGAUGACGUCAAAUCAUCAUGCCCCUUAUGAYYUGGGCUACACACGUGCUACAAUGGACAGUACAAAGGGCWGCAAGACCGC